GGAUAACGUUUGGAAACGAACGCUAAUACCGCAUGAUAUUAUUGAGCUGCAUGGCUUGAUAAUCAAAGGAGCAAUCCGCUGAAAGAUGGGCUCGCGUCCGAUUAGGUAGUUGGCGGGGCAACGGCCCACCAAGCCGACGAUCGGUAGCCGGACUGAGAGGUUGAACGGCCACAUUGGGACUGAGACACGGCCCAGACUCCUACGGGAGGCAGCAGUGAGGGAUAUUGGUCAAUGGGGGAAACCCCGAACCAGCAACGCCGCGUGAGGGAAGACGGUUUUCGGAUUGUGAACCUCUGUCCUCUGUGAAGAUAAUGACGGUAGCAGAGGAGGAAGCUCCGGCUAACUACGUGCCAGCAGCCGCGGUAAUACGUAGGGAGCAAGCGUUGUCCGGAUUUACUGGGUGUAAAGGGUGCGUAGGCGGCUUUGCAGGUCAGAAGUGAAAUCCAUGGGCUUAACCCAUGAACUGCUUUUGAAACUGCAGAGCUUGAGUGGAGUAGAGGUAGGCGGAAUUCCCGGUGUAGCGGUGAAAUGCGUAGAGAUCGGGAGGAACACCAGUGGCGAAGGCGGCCUGCUGGGCUCUAACUGACGCUGAGGCACGAAAGCGUGGGUAGCAAACAGGAUUAGAUACCCUGGUAGUCCACGCUGUAAACGAUGAUUACUAGGUGUGGGUGGACUGACCCCAUCCGUGCCGGA
rnacentral:rRNA from 1 species